rnacentral:rRNA from 1 species
UACGAAGGGGGCUAGCGUGGCUCGGAAUCACUGGGCGUAAAGGGUGCGUAGGCGGGGCUUUAAGUCAGGGGGGAAAUCCUGGAGCUCAACUCCAGAACUGCCUUUGAUACUGAGGAUCUUGAGUUCGGGAGAGGUGAGUGGAACUGCGAGUGUAGAGGUGAAAUUCGUAGAUAUUCGCAAGAACACCAGUGGCGAAGGCGGCUCACUGGCCCGAUACUGACGCUGAGGCACGAAAGCGUGGGGAGCAAACAGG